GUAGGGGCCAAACGUUUGUCCGGAUUUAUUGGGCGUAAAGGGCUCGUAGGCGGUUCAGCAAGUCGGCCGUGAAAGCCCGGGGCUCAACCCCGGGACGCCGGUCGAUACUGCUGUGACUAGGGUCCGGUAGAGGUGAGUGGAAUUCUCGGUGUAGCGGUGGAAUGCGCAGAUAUCGAGAGGAACACCAGUAGCGAAGGCGGCUCACUGGGCCGGUACCGACGCUGAGGAGCGAAAGCGUGGGGAGCAAACAGGAUUAGAUACCCUGGGUAGUCCACGCCGUAAACGUUGAACACUAGGUGUGGCGGAUUUAUCAACGUCUGCCGUGCCGACGCUAACGCAUUAAGUGUUCCGCCUGGGGAGUACGGCCGCAAGGCUA
rnacentral:rRNA from 1 species